AAUAGGAUAGCUGGGUCAAAUAGUGGUUGCAUUUCAAGUUUUCUGAGGAAUCUCCAUAAUGCUUUCCAGAGUGGUUGUAGCAUUUUGCAGUCCCACCAGCAAU
rnacentral:pre_miRNA from 1 species